rnacentral:rRNA from 1 species
GUAGGUGGCAAGCGUUGUCCGGAAUUAUUGGGCGUAAAGCGCGCGCAGGCGGUUCUUUAAGUCUGAUGUGAAAGCCCACGGGCUCAACCGUGGAGGGUCAUUGGAAACUGGAGAACUUGAGUACAGAAGAGGAAAGCGGAAUUCCACGUGUAGCGGUGAAAUGCGUAGAGAUGUGGAGGAACACCAGUGGCGAAGGCGGCUUUCUGGUCUGUAACUGACGCUGAGGCGCGAAAGCGUGGGGAGCAAACAGGAUUAGAUACCCUGGUAGUCCACGCCGUAAACGAUGAGUGCUAAGUGUUAGGGGGUUCCCGCCCCUUAGUGCUGCAGCUAACGCAUUAAGCACUCCGCCUGGGGAGUACGGCCGCAAGGCUG